UUCUUUUUAUUAAAAAAAUGAGUCCAAGAUGUCAUUGACACUAAACCAAUAAGCAUUUUGGUUUAUAUAACCACUUUUGUAUAAAUUAUAUAUUACUUGAAUUGGAAAAAUAUAUUAAAUUUAGAUUUCGUUCAAUUACUUAAUCCUUGCAUGUUUGAAAACAUUCCAAAAAGUAGUAAUUCCAAGAUUAGGCAAUGAAGGACCCUACAAAAAGAUGAUUUAAAAAUUUUCAAAUAUAUCUGAAAUCCCAAUUUAUUAAACAACUCUUUUUAAAACAUAAUAUUAUAUGAAUAAUAAUAUCAUGAACACAAAGAAAAGCAAAAAGAGAUAGAAGCUAACCUCCAUUGAUAGUUACUGGAAUGAGUUAUAAAUGGAAAGGAAGUGAGCAAAAUGCAGUGUUGAAUAAUUUGUAAAUGAGAAUAAUGCUAUGUUCUUUUG
rnacentral:lncRNA from 1 species